rnacentral:rRNA from 1 species
UACAGAGGUCCCAAGCGUUGUUCGGAUUCAUUGGGCGUAAAGGGUGCGUAGGCGGCGCGGUAAGUCGGGUGUGAAAUCUCGGGGCUUAACUCCGAAACUGCAUUCGAUACUGCCGUGCUUGAGGACUGGAGAGGAGACUGGAAUUACGGUGUAGCGGUGAAAUGCGUAGAUAUCGAUAAGGAAGACCAGUGGCGAAGGCGGGUC